rnacentral:rRNA from 1 species
GAUGAACGCUGGCGGCGUGCCUAAUACAUGCAAGUCGAGCGAAUGGAUUAAGAGCUUGCUCUUAUGAAGUUAGCGGCGGACGGGUGAGUAACACGUGGGUAACCUGCCCAUAAGACUGGGAUAACUCCGGGAAACCGGGGCUAAUACCGGAUAAUAUUUUGAACUGCAUGGUUCAAAAUUGAAAGGCGGCUUCGGCUGUCACUUAUGGAUGGACCCGCGUCGCAUUAGCUAGUUGGUAAGGUAACGGCUCACCAAGGCAACGAUGCGUAGCCGAGCUGAGAGGGUGAUCGGCCACACUGGGACUGAGGCACGGCCCAGACUCCUACGGGAGGCAGCAGUAGGGAAUCUUCCGAAAUGGACGAAAGUCUGACGGAGCAACGCCGCGUGAGUGAUGAAGGCUUUCGGGUCGUAAAACUCUGUUGUUAGGGAAGAACAAGUGCUAGUUGAAUAAGCUGGCACCUUGACGGUACCUAACCAGAAAGCCACGGCUAACUACGUGCCAGCCGCCGCCGUAA